rnacentral:rRNA from 1 species
GAUGAACGCUAGCGAUAGGCUUAACACAUGCAAGUCGAGGGGCAGCAUGGUCUUAGCUUGCUAAGGCUGAUGGCGACCGGCGCACGGGUGCGUAACGCGUAUGCAACUUGCCUCACAGAGGGGGAUAACCCGUCGAAAGACGGACUAAUACCGCGUACACUCUAUGUUGGGCAUCCAAUGUAGAGGAAAUGAAAUUCGCUGUGAGAUAGGCAUGCGUCCCAUUAGCUAGUUGGUGAGGUAACGGCUCACCAAGGCGACGAUGGGUAGGGGAACUGAGAGGUUGAACCCCCACGCUGGUACUGAGACACGGACCAGACGCCUACGGGAGGCAGCAGUGAGGAAUAUUGGUCAAUGGGCGAGAGCCUGAACCAGCCAAGUCGCGUGAAGGAUGACUGUCUUAUGGAUUGUAAACUUCUUUUAUACGGGAAUAACAAGAGUCACGUGUGGCUCCCUGCAUGUACCGUAUGAAUAAGCAUCGGCUAACUCCGUG